ACGCACGCUGGCGGCGUGCUUAACACAUGCAAGUCGAACGCUGAAGCUCAGCUUUUGUUGGGUGGAUGAGUGGCGAACGGGUGAGUAACACGUGAGUAACCUGCCUCCUUCUUUGGGAUAACGCCCGGAAACGGGUGCUAAUACUGGAUAUUCACUGGUCUUCGCAUGGGGGUUGGUGGAAAGGGUUUUUCUGGUGGGGGAUGGGCUCGCGGCCUAUCAGCUUGUUGGUGGGGUGAUGGCCUACCAAGGCUUUGACGGGUAGCCGGCCUGAGAGGGUGACCGGUCACAUUGGGACUGAGAUACGGCCCAGACUCCGACGGGAGGCAGCAGUGGGGAAUAUUGCACAAUGGGCGCAAGCCUGAUGCAGCGACGCCGCGUGAGGGAUGGAGGCCUUCGGGUUGUGAACCUCUUUCGCUCAUGGUCAAGCCGCAACAAUGGUUGUGGUGAGGGUAGUGGGUAAAGAAGCGCCGGCUAACUACGUG
rnacentral:rRNA from 1 species